GUGUUUGCUUCAGCAACGCAUGUACUAAAAUUUUAAAGGUACAGAGAAAACUAUGGUCCCUGCACCAAGAAUGACAUAAAAAUUUGUCAAGUAUUCCAUAGUGUU
rnacentral:snRNA from 1 species